ACCAUACCUACCUAUUAAGGCAUUCCCAUAGCCUUUCCGAGAUACAUUGCCAUGCAACAUCCACCAUCUCAUGACUUGAUCUUCAUGUCAUACAUGCUUUUGCUUGAUCGAGGAGCCACAUGCUAGUUGGGCCUUGCCCUUAUUAUUGCUACAUGACGCGCUAGUUUCAUUGCAUAUCCUGCUACACUGGCAGAGGCAUACAUUUGCA
rnacentral:lncRNA from 1 species